rnacentral:piRNA from 1 species
GGAACCAACGCAGCCGGAUCCUUGAGAA